UGCAAGUCGAACGCGUUGGCCCAAUUGAUUGAUGGUGCUUGCACCUGAUUGAUUUUGGUCGCCAACGAGUGGCGGACGGGUGAGUAACACGUAGGUAACCUGCCCAGAAGCGGGGGACAACAUUUGGAAACAGAUGCUAAUACCGCAUAACAGCGUUGUUCGCAUGAACAACGCUUAAAAGAUGGCUUCUCGCUAUCACUUCUGGAUGGACCUGCGGUGCAUUAGCUUGUUGGUGGGGUAAUGGCCUACCAAGGCGAUGAUGCAUAGCCGAGUUGAGAGACUGAUCGGCCACAAUGGGACUGAGACACGGCCCAUACUCCUACGGGAGGCAGCAGUAGGGAAUCUUCCACAAUGGGCGCAAGCCUGAUGGAGCAACACCGCGUGAGUGAAGAAGGGUUUCGGCUCGUAAAGCUCUGUUGUUAAAGAAGAACACGUAUGAGAGUAACUGUUCAUACGUUGACGGUAUUUAACCAGAAAGUCACGGCUAACUACGUGCCAGCAGCCGCGGUAAUACGUAGGUGGCAAGCGUUAUCCGGAUUUAUUGGGCGUAAAGAGAGUGCAGGCGGUUUUCUAAGUCUGAUGUGAAAGCCUUCGGCUUAACCGGAGAAGUGCAUCGGAAACUGGAUAACUUGAGUGCAGAAGAGGGUAGUGGAACUCCAUGUGUAGCGGUGGAAUGCGUAGAUAUAUGGAAGAACACCAGUGGCGAAGGCGGCUACCUGGUCUGCAACUGACGCUGAGACUCGAAAGCAUGGGUAGCGAACAGGAUUAGAUACCCUGGUAGUCCAUGCCGUAAACGAUGAGUGCUAGGUGUUGGAGGGUUUCCGCCCUUCAGUGCCGGAGCUAACGCAUUAAGCACUCCGCCUGGGGAGUACGACCGCAAGGUUGAAACUCAAAGGAAUUGACGGGGGCCCGCACAAGCGGUGGAGCAUGUGGUUUAAUUCGAAGCUACGCGAAGAACCUUACCAGGUCUUGACAUCUUGCGCCAACCCUAGAGAUAGGGCGUUUCCUUCGGGAACGCAAUGACAGGUGGUGCAUGGUCGUCGUCAGCUCGUGUCGUGAGAUGUUGGGUUAAGUCCCGCAACGAGCGCAACCCUUGUUACUAGUUGCCAGCAUUAAGUUGGGCACUCUAGUGAGACUGCCGGUGACAAACCGGAGGAAGGUGGGGACGACGUCAGAUCAUCAUGCCCCUUAUGACCUGGGCUACACACGUGCUACAAUGGACGGUACAACGAGUCGCGAACUCGCGAGGGCAAGCAAAUCUCUUAAAACCGUUCUCAGUUCGGACUGCAGGCUGCAACUCGCCUGCACGAAGUCGGAAUCGCUAGUAAUCGCGGAUCAGCAUGCCGCGGUGAAUACGUUCCCGGGCCUUGUACACACCGCCCGUCACACCAUGAGAGUUUGUAACACCCAAAGUCGGUGGGGUAACCUUUUAGGAGCCAGCCGC
rnacentral:rRNA from 1 species